CGUGUAGGCGGUCAAGUAAGUGGAAUGUGAAAGCCCCCGGCUCACCCGGGGAUCUGCAUCCCAAACUGCUUGGCUUGAGUACGGGAGAGGAUAGGGGAAUUCCUGGUGUAGCGGUGAAAUGCGUAGAUAUCAGGAGGAACACCGGUGGCGAAGGCGCCUAUCUGGCCCGAUACUGACGCUGAGGCGCGAAAGCUAGGGGAGCAAACG
rnacentral:rRNA from 1 species